GUGCUGGGAAGGGACGAGCAUGGUCCCUUUAAAUGAUACCGAACGGGGGACAGGGAAGUGCUGGGUAGAGCAAGGCCGGUUCCUGGCUAGGGCUUCACCCUCUGGCUUGUGCCCACGAACCUAGGUGAGGACAGGCACUCCUGCCUUUGGGCCCAAAUGUUGCAUUUUCCAAAACCACCCUGGCCCACCACACCCCCAUCCUGGGCGGAUAAAAACUGAGACCCUAGCAGGCAGAUAGAUACACAAGCGUCUGGACGUCCAGAGGAGGGGAUCAGCGGAAGAAGACACAAGCAGCCGGACAUCGAGAGGAUGUCGAGGGGAGCAUGCCAGUGGAAGAGCACAUGACAGACACUGGCAGGACAGCAGGCCAUUGACUGGAGGAACGAUGUGGAGUUUAGCGAGAUCAGGAGGAGGAGAGCACGGGCCGCUAAGCAGAGGGACCCCUGGUGCAUCUCCCAUCUGGCUCCCCCAUCUGCUGAGAACUACUUCUACUCAGUAAAACCUCGGACUCAUUCUCCAAGCCCUCGCGUGAUCUGGUUCUUCCGGUACACCACGGCAGGAAACCCUGGGAUACAGAAAUCCCUCCGUCCUUGUGGAUUUUAGAAUGCCAAGCUGACAUUUUGAGUUUUUAUGAGAAACCAGAAAAUUUGGUGUGAAGACCCUAAGUGGUGUGUCUGACUUACAGCAGGCCCACAGCAAAUACAUUGGAGACUUCUCAACUUUCUGCUUCUGAUGAUCUCAACUUGUGGUAUGGCAAAAGGAGAGCAAAAUGUUCACCCAGAUGACAUCGUGAUCAACUCCUCUGAAUCACUCUAAAGGAACGAGAAGUCCUGGCAGCUGAGUCAUGAUCCCCCAGGAGCCAUUAAGAAGUUAAUCUUCAGUCACUUCCAUCCAAACAGAAGAAAACCCAUGAAGGAUGAGAACUAUGGGUCCUGAGAAUGACAGGUAUUGAAGACAGGAUUUAUCUUCUCUACUUCUUCUUUUAGAAGCAGAUCAAGAAACUGGCGAUUGAAGAGUAACUGAAAGAAACGCAAUCUGAUCUUACUAGCAGUGAAAGAGCGAGUCUCCCUCUGAUGCCGAGCAGAAGCUAGACUGUACUGCUGCCAUCUCAGCUCACUGCAACCUCCCUGCCUGAUUCUCCUGCCUCAGCCUGCUGAGUGCCUGCAAUUGCAGGCGCGCCGCCACGCCUGACUGGUUUUCGUAUUUUUUUGGUGGAGACGGGGAUUCGCUGUGUUGGCCGGGCUGGUCUCCAGCUCCUAACCGCGAGUGAUCCACCAGCCUCGGCCUCCUGAGGUGCCGGGAUUGCAGACGGAGUCUGGUUCACUCAGUGCUCAAUGGCGCCCAGACUGGAGUGCAGUGGCGUGAUCUCAGCUCGCUACAACCUCCACCUCCCAGCCGCCUCCCUUGGCCUCCCAAAGUGCAGAGAUUGCAGCCUCUGCCCGGCCGCCACCCCGCCUGGGAAGUGAGGAGCGUCUCUGCCUGGCCGCCCAUUGUCUGGGAUGUGAGGAGCCCCUCUGCCUGGCUGCCCAGUCUGGAAAGUGAGGAGUGUCUCUGCCUGGCCGCCAUCCCAUCUAGGAAGUGAGGAGCGCCUCUUCCCGGCCGCCAUCCCAUCUAGGAAGUGAGGAGCCUCUCUGCCCAGCCGCCCAUCGUCUGAGAUGUGGGGAGCGCCUCUGCCCCGCCGCCCCGUCUGGGAUGUGAGGAGCGCCUCUACCCCGCCGCGACCCCGUCUGGGAGGUGAGGAGCGUCUCUGCCCGGCGGCCCCGUCUGGGAAGUGAGGAGACCCUCCGCCCGGCAGCCGCCCCAUCUGAGAAGUGAGGAGCCCCUCUGCCCAGCAGCCACCCUGUCUGGGAAGUGAGGAGCGUCUCUGCCCAGCAGCCACCCCGUCUGGGAGGGAGGUGGGGGGUCAGCCCCCCGCCCGGCCAGCCGCCCCGUCCGGGAGGUGAGGGGCGCCUCUGCCCGGCGGCCCCUACUGGGAAGUGAGGAGCCCCUCUGCCCGGCCAGCCGCCCCGUCUGGGAAGUGAGGAGCGUCUCCGCCCAGCAGCCACCCCGUCCGGGAGGGAGGUGGGGGGAUCAGCCCCCCGCCCGGCCAGCCGCCCAGUCCGGGAGGGAGGUGGGGGGGUCAGCCCCCCGCCCGGCCAGCCGCCCCGUCCGGGAGGUGAGGGGUGCCUCUGCCCGGCCGCCCCUACUGGGAAGUGAGGAGCCCCUCUGCCCGGCCAGCCGCCCGGUCCGGGAGGGAGGUGGGGGGGUCAGCCCCCUGCCUGGCAAGCCGCCCCGUCUGGGAGGGAGGUGGGGGGAUCAGCCCCCCGCCGGGCCAGCCACCCCGUCCGGGAGGUGAGGGGUGCCUCUGCCCGGCCGCCCCUACUGGGAAGUGAGGAGCCCCUCUGCCCGGCCAGCCGCCCCAUCCGGGAGUGAGGUGGGGGGGUCAGCCCCCUGCCCGGCCAGCCGCCCCGUCCGGGAGGUGAGGGGCGCCUCUGCCCGGCCGCCCCUACUGGGAAGUGAGGAGCCCCUCUGCCCGGCCACCACCCCGUCUGGGAGGUGUACCCAACAGCUCAUUGAGAACGGGCCAUGAUGACAAUGGCGGUUUUGUGGAAUAGAAAGCGGGGAAAGGUGGGGAAAAGAUUGAGAAAUCGGAUGGUUGCCGUGUCUGUGUAGAAAGAGGUAGACAUGGGAGACUUUUCAUUUUGUUCUGUACUAAGAAAAAUUCUUAUCCUGUUGAUCUGUGACCUUACCCCCAACCCCGUGCUCUCUGAAACAUGUGCUGUGUCCACUCAGGGCUAAAUGGAUUAAGGGCGGUGCAAGAUGUGCUUUGUUAAACAGAUGCUUGAAGGCAGCAUGCUCGUUGAGAGUCAUCACCACUCCCUAAUCUCAAGUAACCAGGGACACAAACACUGUGGAAGGCCGCAGGGUCCUCUGCCUAGGAAAACCAGAGACCUUUGUUCACUUGUUUAUCUGCUGACCUUCCCUCCACUAUUGUCCUAUGACCCUGCCAAAUCCCCCUCUGCGAGAAACACCCAAGAAUGAUCAAUAAAAAAAUAAAAUAAAAUAAAAUAAAAUAAAAUAAAUAAAGUUUCAUGCGCAUCCGUGUGAAGAGACCACCAAACAGGCUUUGUGUGAGCAGCAUGGCUGUUUAUUUCACCUGGGUGCAGGCGGGCUGAGUCCGAAAAGAGAGUCAGCCAAGGG
rnacentral:lncRNA from 1 species